AUUUGGACCACCAAAGAGAGGCUCAGGCUACUGAAUCAAUGUAGUUGACGGUCCAGAGGAGGUUUUUUUAACUUCAGUAUUUAUUUUUAGUCAGAUUAAGAUUUUGCUGACAUAUCUAGUUAGAAAUUACUACUACAAAACUACACUUGAUUAUGUUCAAUAUCAUUAAAAUUCGUGUGACCAAUUUCAAACGCCUCCAUUGGCAUAAACCAAACCUUAAGAUCUCAAAUCCUUAGAACACGGUAUUGCACCAUAUGUCCUAUUACCUACCCUACUCCAAAGAAUGGCAGAGUUUGACAAUUAAUG
rnacentral:misc_RNA from 1 species